UGCCGCCACAGGGAGCUGGACCCAGACUCUGUGCUGAAUCUCAAGGGGCUGUGUACUUCUAUGUCUUCAAUGUGUGUAACGCAGUGGGACUCUGGAGGAGCAUAACUGUUUGUCUGCCUGCAACAGAUUGCAAAAUUGGGACCUAUGAGACAAGACCAGUCUUAUGCUCGUGAUUCGUGCACAAGUCCAGUGAAGCCAAUGGGAAAGCUGCCUGAGUAAGGCAGGGAGCGACAGACCUACAUUAAACAGUUUGCUUCCUGAAGCCACCUGUUUUACAGAAUACAGUGACCACAAACUGCAACGCAGGACAGGGAAAGAAAGUGACUUCCCCUGGACACCACAUGGACUUACUAAGGCAAGCAACAUACGGCUAUGUCAUCAGGAUCACAGAACUACACAGGACUGCUUUCCAAGAUAUUUAUAUGCCUUAACUGCAGAAUAACCAUUGAGAUUAUAUGGGAAUGCUAUCCGCAUUUCACAGCCAGGCAAACUGAAGCAGGGCAUGUCUACACAAGACACUAAUAGCACAGUAGUCUAAUUCUACUGCACAUUAGUGUGGCAUGAAAAAAACAUGCUAAUGUACAGAAGAAUGAGUCUACUACACAUAAGCAUCACUGAAAAAGGGUGCGCUAGUGCUGAUGUGCAGUAGAUGUAGUAGUACCUGUGAUUACACGUACUAAACUUAAUGCGCCAUUAUUACAGCACAUUAAUGAACAUGUAGACGCACCUGCCAAGGGGUAAAGAACCUAGACUCUAGUUCAGCAACACAGAGGGAAGAAACUAGCUUCCUCUCUCAGGUUGGUGUAAGCCCAGCUAAUUUAACUGUACAUAACCAGUAAUGAGCACUUUCUGGCAUCAUAGUUAUAGAUCAUCUUCCCUGCUCCAUGCCCUGUGUGCCACUCUGCCAGCACAGUGCAAACAGAAAGCUAGCUAUGUGUUGUCCAUGUGGAGGAAAUCUCUGUCUUCAUCCUUCCCUGAGCACCUCCAGUAUGAGAAGCAUACAGAGGCCAUGCUGGGUAAAUGAGGGGAUGUAGCUGGAGCGUGCUGAAUUCAGCUCAUCCUGGGCUAAUGGAAUAACCCUUGGGGCAGCUAUUUAGGCCACUAUAAGUUGUUCUCACGAUAAGCUCACUUAGGCCCUAAGUGUGUCCAGGUUCAUAAAAGUAAGAAAAUCACUCUCAAAGCUGGAUGUGGUCUUCACAUCUUGAUUGAUUGAUUGAUUGAUAUUGAUUGAUUGAUGUAUCAGAUUGAUUGAUUGAUUUGGUGUAUAUGCCACCCUACCCCAAAAGGCUCAGGGCUGCUUACAGUAAGAGAAACAGAGAAGAGAAACCCUGUGAGGAUACACACCAUGCUGACAUGUCUGUGUGUGCAUCUGCACACGC